AAAAGAAGGCAAAGUAAUAGAGAUGUGAGUAGAGGGGAUGAGAGGUGCGGCAUCAGAUAAGUUGUGCAAGGAAGCAUCUUUGAAGAGGUAUGAGGGCAUCCUUGAUCAUUUCUUGCAAGAUAUAAUUUCUGACAAGGCUCAGAGCAAGACACACGUAUCAUAUUUGCUGUAUUGAUCAAAUGUUUGGAAGCAAGAAUUAAGCCAUUUUCAAACUUUUAUGGUAAGCAGAACUAGAAAACUAGCAAGUAGAGAGAAAAGAAUCCUGAACCAAGAAUUAUGAGACCUCUGUUCUGGUCCCAACUUUG
rnacentral:lncRNA from 1 species